rnacentral:rRNA from 1 species
GUGCCAGCCGCCGCGGUAAUACCGGCAGCCCAAGUGAUGGCCGAUAUUAUUGGGCCUAAAGCGUCCGUAGCUGGCCGAACAAGUCCGUCGGGAAAUCCACGUGCUUAACGCGUGGGCGACCGGCGGAAACUGUCCGGCUUGGGGCCGGAGGACCCGAGGGGUACGUCCGGGGUAGGAGUGAAAUCCCGUAAUCCUGGACGGACCGCCGGUGGCGAAAGCGCCUCGGGAGGACGGACCCGACAGUGAGGGACGAAAGCCAGGGUCUCGAACCGGAUUAGAAACCCUGGUAGUCC